rnacentral:rRNA from 1 species
GCCUACGGGGCGCAGCAGUAGGGAAUCUUCCACAAUGGACGAAAGUCUGAUGGAGCAACGCCGCGUGAGUGAAGAAGGGUUUCAGCUCGUAAAGCUCUGUUGGUAGUGAAGAAAGAUAGAGGUAGUAACUGGCCUUUAUUUGACGGUAAUUACUUAGAAAGUCACGGCUAACUACGUGCCAGCAGCCGCGGUAAUACGUAGGUGGCAAGUGUUGUCCGAAUUUAUUGGGCGUAAAGCGAGUGCAGGCGGUUCAAUAAGUCUGAUGUGAAAGCCUUCGGCUUAAACGGAG